AGUCUAAUUAUAGAAUGGCGGUACAAACUAAAGCUGGACCCAUGGAAACGCAGAUUGGAACUGGAUCUCUGGGACACGUGCUGCGUGGAGCCGGAUCUCUGGGAGGAGCACUGC